CAACAUUUACAACACAAUUGAUGAUCAAUAUAUCAAUAUAAAUCAUAAGGAUUGCCAGCAACAAGUUAUAGUCAUACAGUCAUAAGUGGAAAGAGAUUGGUGAUGGGAACUAUGAAACGAUUAAUAGUAGUGCAGAUUUAAAUUAUAUUUAAAACAUGGUUCAAAACAGAUAUAGCCCAAUAGGAUCUCAUACAGGCAAUAUUAUUGUUUUAUAUGGUAGUAUAUUGGCUUUGUUAUAUUUUUAUUUUGAUGCACAGAAUGGGGCUUGUAUGGUCUUAGAAUUGAUUCUCCUUGGAAUAUUUAAAAACUGUGAAUAAAUGAAGUAGCUUGUAGUGUAUUAGAUUACACUUCUGUUAUGGAACAGCACUUUUCUUUUUUGUUUUUCUUGUGUUUUCUUGUGCAUAUCAUUCAUGGUGCACAAUUCUUAUUCAGAGUUUUAAGGCGAAUUGAUGACAAUUGCAAUAGACUGCUGGAAGAAAAAAAUAAGAUUAAUAAAUCAUUGUCAUCUAGCUCUUGAGUUCAGUAUCCAAAGAAGUGUAUAAUAGCAAUAAUCUUGAUUGCUUUCUGAUUGGCACCUUGAUUUCAUCAUAUUGUCUACUUGCUCUUCUGCUGGGAGUUCAGGACUGCCUCUUAUUAUAGCAAGACGCUAAAUGCUGGAAUGAAGAAAUCUUUAUCUUGCAGGGCUGUUGUUUUUUUCAGGUUUGACAACAAAAGUGAAAACUGAAAUGCUAAAUCCUGCUGUUCCCAGCAUACCCUACUUUAGAAGGCUGUUGAAAGGAUGAAAUCAUAGAAGGAAGCCAUUUAUGACAUUCUGAGCUUUGAGGAACAAUCCAGUACAAAUGAAAUGGGUCCAAGUCUGAAUCUUUCCCAGAACUAGUAACCUCCCUAUAUUAUCCCUCACGAGAUAAGUAUCCAUCAAGUUCAAAUAAUACCCGUUGGUAUCAUCAGAAGAAUGUCGUUUGAUAUUCCUUGCUAUUCGAUGAUUGCCCCUUGGAAAGGGGUUGUGAUUUGGAUUACUCGCGGGGCUCUCUCAGAAGGUGCCACUCAAAGUCUGCAAACCGAUCGCGUGAACGAGGUGAUGUUAUCCAAGGGCUGACAAUUGCUCGGCCACGCUUUCCUCACACGGCUAAAUUGCGCAGUCUCGUCUGCUACGGGAGCAUCAAGCAGACCGCCUGGUCCGUUCUUCGGCAUCCAGCAAACGCACCAAGGAGCGCCGGCAGAGGGCAACGCUGCUCCUUAACUGGGCGUGGAGGCUCAGACACGUUGUUUCCCACGCAGCGCAACAUCGCGACGCUCCCUUCCAUCUCGGGCUCAGCCUCCCUCGCGCUCGCUCAUCUGCCAGACUCCUGUCUUUGCCCGGCGGCAGUGCAGCGGAGGCCGAGCGGGGCGCCAGCAGCUCUCCAGCAAAGUGGAGCCUCGAGUUUCGGGAUGCCGCUAACGCUGCUGCCGCUGCUGUUGCUGCUUGUGCUGGAUGCCUCCCGGGCGGCGCGUCCUCACGACUGGCUGUACCGCCAGAGACGGAGCAGCCAGCGGGAGGAAGAGGGGGGCCUGCGGGAUCGUGCCGCGGGAGCCCCGGAGGCGGCUUCCUUGUUUAGCACCUCUUUCGUCCUAAAAGGUGACUCGGCUCACAACCAAGCGAUGGUGCAUUGGACGGGCGACAAUAGCAGCGUAAUUCUGAUCCUUACCAAAUAUUACCACACUGAUAUGGGCAAAGUGUUGGAGAGUUCUUUGUGGAGGUCAUCAGAUUUUGGAACAUUAUAUACUAAAUUAAACUUACAACCUGGAAUUGUUACCGUCAUCGAAAAUUUCUACAUCUGUCCUGCUAACAAGAAGAAGAUAAUUCUUGUAAGUUCUUCCCACAAUGACCUGGACCAGAAUCUUUUUAUUAGUACAGAUGAAGGUGCUACUUUUCAAAAGCAGCCCAUCAGUUUUUUUGUGGAAACACUGAUAUUUCAUCCAAAGCAGGAAGAUAAGGUGCUUGCUUACAGCAAGGAGGAACAGCUUUAUGCAUCUCUUGAUUUGGGAAUAAAAUGGACUCGCAUACAAGAUCACGUGUCAAAAGAUCAUAUUUAUUGGGCUGUUGAUGGAGUUGAUGAAGAUCCUGAUUUGGUUCAUAUGGAAGUCCAAGACCCAAAUGAAGAUUUUUACUACAUGACCUGUCAGUUUCAGAAUUGUUCUGAAAAAUCACUGAAAUCUCUCUUCAAUGGUAGGAUUGACAAGAAUUCCUUGACAGUACAGGAUGACUAUAUAUUCCUUCAGGUGUCUUCAGGAAACCAAACAAAAUACUAUGUUUCUUAUCAUCGGAAUGAAUUUAUACAGAUGAAAUUACCAAAGUAUGCUUUACCUAAGGAUUUACAGAUUAUCAGUACUGAUGAGAAUCAGGUGUUUAUAGCUAUCCAGGAAUGGUAUCAGAUUGACACAUAUAACCUCUACCAGUCUGACCCACAAGGCUCUUCCUAUUCCAUUGCAUUAGAAAAUGUCAGGAGUACCAAGCAACCUGAGGAGAAUGUUUUAAUAGAUAUUUUGGAGGUUAAAGGUGUCAAAGGAGUGUUUUUGGCUAAUCAGAAAAUAAAUGGAAAAGUUACUACUCUUAUAACAUUUAAUAAAGGCCGUAACUGGGAUUAUCUAAUGCCCCCAGCUACUGAUAUGAAUGGUAAACCAACUGACUGCAAACCACCUGAUUGCCAUCUUCAUCUUCAUCUGCGCUGGCCAGAUAAUCCAUAUGUGUCAGGGAUGGUUCAUACUAAGGAUACAGCACCAGGACUCAUAAUGGGGGCAGGAAAUCUGGGUGCCCAGCUUGUGGAAUACAAGGAAGAAAUGUAUAUAACAUCUGACUGUGGUAGAACAUGGAGACAGGUUUUUGAAGAGGAGCAUCAUAUCUUAUAUUUGGAUCAUGGUGGUGUGAUUGUGGCCAUCAAAGAUACAUCUAUUCCUCUGAAAAUACUCAAAUUCAGUGUAGAUGAAGGUCAAACUUGGAGCACCCAUAAUUUCACAAGUAUUUCUGUGUAUGUGGAUGGCCUGCUUAGUGAACCUGGGGAUGAGACGUUAGUCAUGACGGUGUUUGGACACAUCAGUUACCAGUCAGACUGGGAGCUAGUGAAGGUAGAUUUCCGUCCAUCUUUUUCCCGUGAAUGCACUGAUGAAGAUUAUGAAUCAUGGGACCUAACAAAUCUGCAGGGUGACCGUUGCAUAAUGGGCCAGCAGAGAACCUUUCGAAGGAGGAAGAAUUCAUCAUGGUGUAUUAAAGGAAAAAACUUUAUGUCAGCACUUUCUUCCAAAGUUUGUGAAUGUAGUUCUUCUGAUUUCUUAUGUGAUUAUGGAUUUGAACUUUCACUGUCAAAAUCAGAGCCCAGCAUGUGCUUUGCUGACUUUUGGUUUAACCCUAAAGCCCCUCCUGAAGACUGUAUCACAGGGCAGUCCUAUAAAAGUAGCACAGGAUACCGUAAAGUUAUAUCUAAUAUAUGUAAAGGGGGUGUGGAUUUACAGAAAAAUUCUUCUCAGCAUGUGUGUCCACUAACUGCUCCCAGAGGAUUGCAGAUCAGCAUUAAAGGAGAAAGCCUAGCCAUUAAGCCAGGAGAAUAUGUCACCUUUAUUGUCAAACAAAAUCAGGGUGAUACUUUAAACACCAAAUACCAAGUGAACUUUGGAGAUGGCAUUAAGGCAAAUUAUAUGAACCUGACACUGAUAGGUGAAACUUUUCAGCACCAUUAUGAAAAUCCUGGAGUUUAUCAUGUCUCUGUAGUGGCUAAGAAUGCUGCAGGUCAAGAUGAAGCAGUCAUAUUUAUUCAGGUUCAUCCUCCACUGCAGGCUUUACAUCUUGAAGUAGUUCCUGCUGUUGGCAGAAACCGGGAGGUGAAUUUGACAGCCAUCAUCCUGCCAAGGAACUCUAACUUUACACUUUUUUACUGGUGGAUUGGAAACAAUAUUCAGCCAGUUCUUUCACUGGAAAAUUUCUUGGUAACCAGUUUUACUGAAGCAGGCGAAGUCAGAGUUACAGUUCAAGCUUCUUGUGGAAAUUCUAUGCUUCAAGAUUCCAAGAUUAUCAAGGUUUUGGAUCAUUAUCAAGUUCUUCCAUUAAGGUUUUCUGAACAUCUAGAUUUAUACAACCCAAAUAUACCUGCUUGGCGGGAGGAUGUUGGUCAUGUGGUAACACAACGGAUUGCCCAGGAAACAUGCUUACCUGAAGAAAGUCUUAUGACAGUAAUAAAACCUGGGCUACCCACCACUGCUGACUUUUAUAUGCUUCUGUCUACAAACCAUCCUGAAGGAAAGAAAAAUGUAUUUAAUGAUAAGUGGUUAGCUGCUAUUAAACAAUCUCUGAAUGCCCAAAACAUCAGUUUCUUUAUGAGAGGAGGAAAAUGGGUCCUUGUGGCAUUAGGUAGUUCUGAUUCAGAUUCUCAGAGCAUCAGAGGAGGCAAUGGGUACUGGAUGAUCAUGGCUCUCUUUGUCAUUUCACUAGUGGUUAUAGGAGCCAUAAUCCUCUACAAAUUCAAAAGGAAAUUACCAGGGAGAAAUGUAUAUGCUCAGAUGCAAAAUGAAAAAGAACAAGAGAUGACCAGCCCUGUAAAUCAGAGAGACGAUACCCAAAAUACUCAGGGAGAAGAAUUCAUUGAUGACGAUCUUGAUUGUCAAACACUGGGAAAUGCAAGAGCGUCCACAAAAUCUUUUCCAGUCAGGUCAGAUCACUGAAAAUAUGUUUAAGAGCCAGGUGCUCCCUGAGAAAAAACAUACAGAAAAUGCUAACAAUUGUGAUGAUUACUGUACAGCAUGGUGCCAUUUGUGACUGUUAUUGGAGAUUUUUAGAAAAAUGUAUGUAGGCUGAAGUAAUUAACAGGGCUAAAAGAAUAUGCAAAACUGAAUUCAAAUUUUGUUUGUGUUAAAGGUUUUAAAUAUAUACAUUAAUUCAUUGAAGCAGGCAUGUUAAAAAAAUGAUCUGACAGCUUAAUUUAUAAAGGGAGGGGCACAUCCCUUAUUAUUGGAUGUACUGAUUGGAUUGGUAGACAGUAUAAUUCAGCAGCAUCUUUGGGAUGGUUCACCCUUCUGUUUUCAGUGAUAGAGCAAUUCUCCUUAUAUUCCCAACGCCUCUCAUGAAGUGGCCUAACGGCUUCAUAAAAGUUAACUGCUGUACGAUACUUCCAUGGACAUGGAUUGAUGCGGUGAUCCUGGUUCCUGAAAAUUAAAUUGAACAAUAUUGACAAAAGAUGCCUGAAACUACAUAAAAAUACCAACCUCUCACAGCAUUUGAGAGUGAAACCUUCUUUUUUGUUUUUAAGUUUAUUUGCCCAGUGCCUGAAAAGGUUGCUGAUGCGUGGCCAAUUAUGUCCUACCUUUUAGUAGUUUGGUGUGGGAUUAUUUUACCACAGAUGAUUUUGAAGCCGAGAGUAGAAUAGAAGCAAUGGAAGGAGAGGCAUAGAAUGAAAAACAAACCUAUCCUAUUGAUUUACAUUUUAUCUGUAGGGAGAUCACAAAAAGUGAAGAUGGCAGGCUCAAUGAUGUAAGUGAAGCUCCAACUCCUAUGCAUUGGAGUUGAUGCAACAGCUGUCGCCACCUUGAUUUUCUGGGUGCUCCACCCCUCUUGCUGCUUGUCUAACCUGGUUCACUGAUAGGAUACAGCUGGAUUGCUAGCUAAGAUUGGAAUGGGAAAAUUUGCUGUAGCCAACUCACUGCAAGACAACUCACUAUGGCCAACUCGACAUGGGGCAAUUUGAGGAUGGACAAUUUAACAAUUCUAUUUCAUUAUUUAAAAUAAUAAAAAUUAUUUUAAUUUUUGCAAUUCACAUUUCAUCCUGUCCUUCCUUUUGCAUUCUUUCUUUAAUUAUUCUAUUCCACAAUUUCUUUAAUUUUAGUGUAACUCUUGUCCCACAGCGAGUUGUCUUGCGGUGACAAGUGAAUUCCCACAGUGAAUUGGCUGCGACAAGUUGUUGGUGAAGAGUUAGCCAUGGCAAAUUUUCACAGACCCACUUAAGAUAUUCAGUUGGAUUCUGAUAAUUUUCUUGCUGAGAGGCAGGAAUGGGUAGAAGGGAGAGGAAAGAAGGCUAAUAGUGUGUUAAAAAAAUGUAAUACAGAUAGUUAAGAGAUUGUAAAAUGGCUUUUUGCAUUUCCAAAUUUUGGGUAUCACCAACUAGAGGUUGAGGAGAAAUGUAAUAUCAUCCCAGAAAUCCUAGAAUGAUAUUUCUGAAAAUAAUAUAGAAUAACUACAAUCUAAAAAUAUUCUAAUCAUAUGAAGAAGUUACAUUACAUAAAGUAGCCAUGGGAUAGCAGCAACUCAUUGCUGGAUCAGUGUCUUAUAUUUUGAUUUUUAAUAAUAGAUAUUUUUAACAAAAUACUGAAGAAAAUUGCUGAAGCCGGUAAGAAUAGAUACUGAAAAUGCUUGGGUCUGGAAUGUAUUGAAAAGAAUGGAAUAAUUUCCUAAUUGCCUUAGAUUCUCAAUUUCCUGUUUUGCUCAGGGUAAAAAUAAUUCUGAAGACUGAUUCAUUAUCUUUGUAUUGCCAGAUAAAUCACAUUUUUUUGAUAAAAGAGCCAUUCCAGAAUAUUUUUUCCCCUCUUCAUUUCUAUCAUCUCUUCAUACUGCUAACUGGAACCUACUACAAGUUUGAUGUGCAUUCUGUAGCCAAACCUAUUAAUAUGCUUUUGCACUGAUUCCUGUGAUAUGCUCUGAUUCAGCUUAGUCAAGCAUAAAUGGAACAGCGGUGAAAUGCACUUACCUUCGCUACCGGUUUGGGAAUGUGAGCAUGCUCAUUCACUCACGCGUGCCUCUUCUGCACAUGCACAGAGGGUCAAAAAUGGGACAUAAUGACGUCCUGGUGGGUGGGCGGAGCCUCCCACCGCCAGUGCUACCAGUUCACGUGAGCCAGAUAGAUCCAGCUGGAUUUCACCGCUGAAAUAGAACAGCCCUAAUGUUUCAUAGUGCUACUAUACCUGAUUGCAUGUCGGAUUAGAGCCAGGAAAACAUGGGUUCAAACUCUCACUCAUCACUAUAUAUGAUGAUUUGGACCAAUUACUCUUAGCCCAGCACAACCUCGCCUUUCCUUAUGCAGGGCACUUUAUAAACAUCUGGAUUGUAACUUCCAGAAGUGUCAGCAAAUGCCACACUGGUUGGAAAGUUCUGGAAAUUAGUCCACAGUUCAGAAGACGAUCAUGCUUGAGGAAGUUUGAUCUAAUGCAGAGGAUAUUGUGAGGGUAAAAUGCCCUGGUUGCAUGAAAAUGAAUUAUUCUCUACCUCUUCUUAAUAGAAUUUAAAUAUUUGUGAGAAGGUCAUUUAAAUUCGAAAGGCCCUUUUGUCAUCCUCGUUUCACUGAUGAGAUUGUUAAGUUAUUUUCUGCUCAUAAUAUAAUGAAGCAAAUGAGAUUUUCUGUUUUCAUAAUUUUGAAAAAAAAAUUAAAUGGCAUAUUCCUCAGCUCACCCAUCCAUUUCUGUUGUUUUUGUAUAUUUUAUGUUGCCUACUUUAUCGCCAUCCCCACCUUGGGACUCCUCCUCCACACCAUUACCUUGCAGUGACUCCUUCUGGGAGAGGUGGAAACUUGAACAGCUACAGAGUUCCCUUAUUGCUGAUGGCAGUCAGUGUCCAGUCCCAGGCAAUCUCUCAGGCAUGGUUCUGAGCAUUAGUUCCAGGGAAAUGCACAGUGACCUGAUUAGCUGAUACAACUCAACCUAUUUUCAAGAAUCUUCUACUGUGGGUUCCUUCUUUCCUCUCUGAAGAAUUCACUGCUAGUGGGAAGGAGACUGUCUCGAAGAUACAACAGCCACGUGUUACUUGGAAAACACGAUAAUACGCUUUGUGUUCAUGGCUGCUGACCUCAGACUAAGAUAGCAGAUCUGUAGCCCUAGGCAUGUUUGCAACCACUUUGUCUGUCUCUGGGUCCCUUGGCUUAUUUAUGUCCACGUAAUCAAACUCAUUUCAGACUUUGUUCACAAUGGUGACAUCAGGCUGCCAUUCUUAAGGCAUGAGGGUUAGUUUUAAAAUAGUCGAAACAGAAAUGGGUGAAUAUUUGGGAUUUUUUCCUAGUAAAUCAGCAACUUGGAUCUGAUAUGGCACAUUUCAGAAGGGAUGCAUUGAAGAGACAUGAUGAUCAGUCAUUGGCAUACUCUUCAGGUCCACUGGAGAUCUAGAUAACAUCUUCCUUCUGUUUCAGAAUAUAAAAACUGAUGCUGAUGUUGGGAAAUGAGUAGGGGCUUUUUGUAACAUAUCACCAAAAGAAGCUUUCAGCUUCAUUUUGCUCCCAAAUCAAGUUCUUCCUAGUCUUGACACCCCUAUUUUUCUGUCCACUAGACUGCCUGUUAGUUUGCAACCCACACUAUUAAGCAGCUUGGGCUGCCUUACCUUUUCUUCAGUUUCCAGAACAGCAAGUGUAAUUACUUUUUAAAAUUUCAGUAGUCUUUUUUUGUAUCUUUUUACACUUUCUAUUUUUAUAGCUAUAAAAGCAUUCUUAUCUCAGGAUAACGCUGUCAAAGCAGCCUAUUUCAAAUUUGCUAUUUUAUUCUUUUUCCCUUUUUCUACUUUGGGGCUGAACAAACAAAAAAUAUCACUGCCUUGGAUGUGUUUGACAAUCUGGUGAAUCAAAUUUGAUUAAUUCCAUUUAAAUAAUUGCACUUUUUCAAUUUCAUCCUAAAUAUCAUGCUUCACUUUUCAGACUGGAGCUAAGUGAAGUCUUAGGCAGGAAAUAAUUUCUGUUGUUAUUUAGAAGAACUGCAAGUUUAAUUGUCAAUAUGCUUGUUUCACCCCAGUAACUUUAUGGAGCAAAAGUGCAGUCAGAAUGGUGGUACUUGCUCAAAGAAGACACGUGUAGAAAACUAGCCACAAAGUAGUCUAGAAAUAAUACACACAUAAGUGCACAUUUAGAAAGUGUUUCCGAAUAUCAAUGAACGAUUCUUACAAAUCACUUGUGAUGCACUUUUUCUAUGUAUUACAUGACUGUGUCUCCAAUGAAUUCUUUCCACCGAAGGCACAUUCCAUUUUGUGUUGAUGUAUUUUGUUCUCAUGCAUGCACAAAAGCAACUACUGCAGUACUGUGUCAAGCACAAUGCAUUCAGGAACUGAUCAUUCCAGCAGUUAUAAUGCUGCUGGAAAUGAAUGGCAACAUUUAUUUGCCACCUGCUCAGGAUCGCUCUGUCUGUCUAUGCAGCAGAGCUCCUAGUGGCCUGCACAUUUUCUUAUAAAAGAGCAACAACUCCCCACUGCCUUACCUGUACAGAGAAUAAUUGCAGUUGAAAAAAUAUGGAAGUCUAAAUGUUUAAAAGCAAAACGGGAGGGGGGGGUUGGUUCCUCAUAAAAUAUUUUUGUUUGGUAUUAAGGGAUGAAAUUCUUCAUUUUACUAUUUAUGGUAUUGCUGGUAUUGAAAAUUUAAAAAAAAAACAAGUUUUUAUGAUGAAAAAUUACUGGUCCACAAUAAUUUGAAAGCAUGUUUAAAAAGCAACCCUAGCAAUGCAACAGGAUGGGCAGAUCGCAAAUCUAGACUCCAUGUUUUUACAAAUCUAUAAAUGAUCAGCAGUAAAAAGUAUACAUGUACUGCUCACAAGCGUGAACAUCCAAUUUUGUUAUUUUCCUAAAGUGAAAACCUUGUUUUUAGCUCUGCUCUUCCACAACUGGAGAUAGAGUUAAAUGAAGGGUGAUCUUUGUUUGAGGUGUUAUUUUUCUUUAUUGCUGUUCAACAAACUUAGAAUAUCCCAAAAUUCACACUUUCUGUUUCCUUGUUUGAGAUAAUGUCCGUUUUAAAGUGGGGCACUACAGUACAGUACUGUAUGUUAUUUGUGGUUACUGUAGAUAGAGCUAUAACUUCUUACAAGCUUUACUGGAGGGAGCAGCUUCAUCUACACAAAUUACUGUUUUCAUAUUGCUAACUCUGACUGAAACGGGUGUUAUUCAUGUCAAUAUCUUCUGGACCCUAUGCAUGUAUUUUACUCCUACCACCUGGGCUCAUUAAAAGGUCCCUGGUUUUAAUGUUUCUCUAGCAGUGUUCCUCCUCUCCUUCUCCCAAUAAAGAGAUUUUUGUUUCUGCAAAUAAAAAGAGCAGGUUGGGAACUAGCCACUGCAAAGAAAUUUCAGUCCAGAUCUAUUAAUACAACACUGCUUUGCUCUGUAAAAUGCAAUGGCAGUAUUUUUAAGGCAAUUUGCUUUCAUUUUUGUUUGAAAAGCUGCUGGUUUACAACUGUGGUUGAGCCAACAAACAAAUAUUGGUAAUUACAUCUCUACUCCUAAGAAUGAAUAGAAGCAAUACUAGUCAUAGGAAUUUUUAUAGAAUAAAAAGACUGGAUUCUUUAAUAUUUUCUAGCCUUAGAUGCAGGUAUCUCUUAUAUUGGCAGAUUAGUUCUUGAGAUAAAUGUUUGUUGCAUCAUUUGUAAGAAAUUCACUUUGUACAGCAUUUGUAUAAUUGAAAUAGACUGAUACAAAAGAAGCAGAUUUGGUUGCAAGAGUAGGAUAUUUUUGUGACACUGACAGUAGUGAGUCAAAAGUGGACUUGUCUUCAGAAGCAAUAAAUUUCAUCAAAUGCCAGCAUUUAAAAAUGUGGAGAAACAAUGACUGAAUGGAAAGAAACUUUAUUUUUCAUGCUGGCUGUUUUCUCAUGCAGUUCUUUCUCUGUCUAGCUAUUUAGGUAUAUGUUUUGUCCUGCCAAGAAUGCUUUCCAUUAAAGCUUUCCACGGAUAUUACAAACCAUAAGUUCUUUUUUGGGUCACAUUUCAGUAUAAAACAUCUAGUUUACCUUUUAUUAAGAGCCAAUAUAGAUCUACAAAUAACAAGUUGCUAUUUGAACAAUUUUUUUCCUUUGUUCCCAAGUCUGCAGAAGGAUUACAUCACUGAUGUCACAUAAUGAAAGUACACUCCAUCACACUGUACUAGAUGGACAGAUAGAUAGACAUUACAUUUCCAGAGAUAGUAUAUUUUUAUCCACACAUGCAACAGAAUGAGAAUAUAGACAAACAAGAUGAAAGUAAAUGGAAUGUCAGGGUGAGUUGGCUUUCACAUCUCACCCCAUUGAUCACCAGGGGUUGAUUUGGCUGAUCUGGCUGGCUAGGCAGAUGUCCCAUUCCUCCCUCACUGCUCCAUAUGUAUCCCUUCUGAGCCUACACACUUGUUAGAAGAGAAUGACCAUUCCAGAGAGAAGGAGUGAUGAUGAAAGCAAAUGCUAGGUCACAUGUUAAACUCCAAAUUUCCUUUGGUGAGGAGUGUUAAAAGACUCUUGGAGGAGAGAAUUUUAAAUGUGCCUCGUUGCAGGGGGGGGGGGCAGGUAAAUUAAGCUUAUGUCAGGGAAUUUAUUAGAUAGGAUCCAGAUUCCCAUAGGAGAUGUGCCUUCCUUGACUUUCUGUGGUUUUCAGCUGUUCAAUAGGACAGUGAAAUUUCUGACAGUGAAGCAUUGUCUUCCUUACCAGCCUCCCUAAACAAGUUAAAAGGAAGGCCAUCUAGGCCACAAAGAAACCUGGGGUCUCUUCUGGGUGCAUGGUGGACACUAUUUAUGGGCCGGAAGCUUUUGAAAUUUCAGAAGUGUUUCAGGAGGCUACCCUGAAACCCUGAGGCUAAAAAGUAGGCAAAAAUUACAUUGAUGAAGUUCAGCCUUUUGUUGUUGAAUUUUAAUGGUAGGGUCUUGAAGUGAUGUUAGGGGCUAAUGAUGCACACCUGCUGAAUAAAAUGAAGAGAAAGAUUAAUGCACUUUCACCUAUUUCUUUUUGGUUUGAUAGGAUCAAGUGUGGGCAUUGCAUCCUCUAACCAAUCAUCUUGUUCUUGGUGAUGCUGUGGCUUUGUGAAGGCCUUCUAGGGAGAAAAUUCCAUGUAAGAGUUUGCAGGUACAUAAAUAAUACACAGUCUGAUAAAUUCAGGGUUAGUUGUAAUUUAAAUAAAUGAAUAGGUCAUUUUGGAAAUGAGAUGGAUAGACUUAAAUGGAUAAAAAUUUUGAUGAAAAAUUGUGUUUUGAAUGGAAGGUAGGAAUUGAAUAUUAAGUGGUUAAAAACUAGGGAUAAAAGGAGAAAGAGCAGAUAAUUUAAGAAGACUGGUAAAUUGAAACAAGUCCCCAUGAAUGGGCUUUUAAGGGCCAUUGAUUAUAGUGGGAGAUGUAAGUGUAUACCGUACUUCAAUGGUAUGAGGAGACAUUAAUGCCGCUUAAAACUACUCCAGCCAGAUUAUAUUAAACGUCAGCCUGCGGUUACACAAUCAGUAGGUGAAAUGGGUUAUGUGCAGCAAGACUGGACUGAAGACUCUAGUUCAUUAGUGCUGCAACUUUAAAAUUCUAGAAAAUAAGAGAAAAUUGAUAUAUAUAAUAUAAAAACACAUUUUUUCAUUUAUUGCUGUAAUUAAAAUAGUUGUAUUUUGCUAUAUGUAAACAAAGUGGAUUUACAUGAAGAAUAUUAUAAACAACAUAAAUAAUGUACACAGAUACAAUAAUAUAUAACUGAAACUAAUGUGUACAUAAAUUAUAUAUCUGAAGUGAAACCAAUGAGUCUAUAUAUUUUCGUAGAGGCAAAUAUAUAAACUACAUGAAUCAGAAUAAAUAAGGGAACAGAAAAGUUCUCCGUGUCGUAAGUAACCUAAAAUUCCUACUGCUUACAAUACAGACAAGUACUAUAAUAUUCUAUAUAAUUGAAACCCAAAUUGACAUAUAGUAUGUAUUUUUUGGUCUGGCAAAAUCUGAAUUAUAUCAUUGAAAUCCAGUCAGUCAUAUUUGAUAAGAUAAUUAUUUUGCAUUAAAAGACUUCACUGUUAGAUACCCUUCAGACCCAGUGUGUACAGUGUAAUUUCAACAUUACAAGAUGUUGCUUUUCAGAACUCUUCCUCACACUGAGCUCAAGGAUUAUUUACCAGUCCAUGAGCCACAGAAAACUAUAUUGGCAUGAAAAUGGCCAGCCUUUGAAAAGCCUCAAGCCCCAGUUUCCCAGCUCCAUCUAAAGAAACUGAGAUCCCAGCCUCAGCCUCAGAAAGGAAAAAGAAGCUAUAAAUUUUAGGGACUUGCAUUGCACCUGCCUUUAAUGCUAAUGUUUGUUGAAAGUUCACAGGUUAAAUAUUGUGUAUGUCACUAUGUUAUGAGAUACUUCAAAUAUGCCACAACUGUCAGGGCCCUGCAAGGGUGGGAAGUGCCAAAUAACACAAGAUGGCAGCCCCAACUUAACGAUCAAAGACCUUCCCCCAUUUGUUAGGUAAAGGUAAAGGUUCCCUUUGCACAUAUGUGCUAGUCGUUCCCAACUCUAGGGGGUGGUGCUCAUCUCUGUUUCAAAGAUGAAGAGCCACUGCUGUCCGAAGACGUCUCCAUGGUCAUGUGGCCGACAUGACUAAACACCAAAGGUGCACGGAAUGCUGUUACUUUCCCACCAAAAGUAGUCCCUAUUUUUCUACUUGCAUUUUUUUACAUGUUUUUGAACUGCUAGGUUGGCAGAAGCUGGGACAAGUAAUGGGAGCUCACCCAUUACGCAGCACUAGGGAUUCAAACUGCUGAACUGCCGACCUUUCAAUUAACAAGCUCAGCGUCUUAGCCAAAGUGGGACAGCUUCUAUCAUAGAACAUAGAAUAAAGGUUGGAAGAGGCCUUGUAGUCCAAACCCCUGCUCAAGCAGAUGCAGUUUCCUGAGUGGUUCCCCCUGCCCCCUUUUGAAGAUUGUAACACAUCAAUUCUUUUUUCAGUUUUCUGAUAGGUCCCCAAUGCUCCAGACUCUUUUUGUUCAGUGGUUUUGAGAUCACAUCUGCCAGCUCCUUUAGAACUCUGGGAUGUAAUCCAUCUGGUCCUGGCAAAAUGAAUUCAUCUAGAGUGGAUAAGUGUUUUCUUACCAUUUUCUUUCUUAUUUUAACUUGCAUUCCUAUUCUGUCACCUGCAGUAUUGCUUUUGAUAAGUUGGACUGUUUUUUUCCUUUUGUGCUUUCUUCCUGUUACCUGGCAUCUCCUUGCCAUUUCUCCCAUUAGUGGACCAAACAUUUUCUUGAUCUUUUUCUUGUGUUUUACAUGUUGAAACCAACUUUUAAAAUUAUUUUUGGCAUUUCUUGCAAGUCUUAAUUCAUUAUGAGUCUUAGCUUUCCUGACUUCAUCCUUGCAGAGUUAAGCUACUUGCUGAUAUUCUGUUUUAGUUAUGUGUCCCUCUUUCCAUUUCUUAUACUUGUCGUUUUUGUCUCCCAGUUUAUCAGGGAGUUUUUUCAUGCAACUAUGCUGGUUUCAUCUUGUUUUUGAUUUUCAAUAAUAUUAUAUUAAACUGAGCUUUUAUAAUCUCAUUUUUCAGAGUUUCCCAGGCAUCUUGUUUUCCCUUUUAAGAUUUCCAUCCAAGAAAGUCUUCCUAAGGUCUCUCUAAGUUUGUUGGCCAUGACUUUUUGGUAUCCACCCACACAGCUGCAGUUGCCCCUGCCUCUAUCCUGCUGUGGGGAAACAAUUUGACUUCAGUGGCAUUAAUAGAAUAAUCACCAUUAGUUAGGAGUUGCUUUUUUAUUUAUUUGGUGUACGAUUUUCAGGGACAUUUCCUUUUGCAAUACUUUCCAAUUGCAGAAGCCUAAGAGAAUAGCCGAGUGGAGGUUUAACAUUUCAGGGCAGCCAAGGCCUGUACAGUCUUGCCUCUUUCAUUAUUAAAAAUUUCCUUUGUUCUUUGGUACAGUUAUAACACCAAUAUCCAUUUGUCUCUGUUGUAGAUUCUGUCUGUUAACCAUCUAGAAACAAAUUUGUAAGAAAGUCCUUUCUUUUUCUCUGUUAAACCUUUCACACUUUUCCAAAAGUUUUGAAAAUUGAGCAAUCUAAUACAAUGGGUGUGGAUAAGUGGGGACUUAAGUAUCUUGUUGUGCAAUUUUAUCCCAUUAAUUUCUGUGUGUCUGAGGCACACCUAUUUUGCAGAAGAUUGUAUGUACUGUAUGUGCAUAUUUUGGGCAUUGGCAAUCCUUAGGAAUGAGAUGGGUGUAUUUUUAUGUUUUGUUUUGUUAAGAUUGAUUCCCACAAGCCUUGGAAAACUAUGCAGGAUAAACGAUCUUUCUGAGAUAGUGGUUUCCAAAAGAAAAAUAUACAAAAAUAUUGAAAUAGGAAUUACAAUACACCAUUCCAUUUUGCUGGUCUUCAUUGAUGCUCUGGAAGGGCUUUUCUAUGGGUUUUAUUUCUUGAACAAACUUUUCUAUGGGUUAUGUUUCUUGAAACAACUAUUCUUAUGGGUUAGUCUAGACUCCGUACAAGUUUUGACACUUGUAGGACCUGCCAAUAUUAAUGCUAUUGUUAGCCUAUUCUGCUUAAAAACCUUCCUUAUUUUGAAAAUUCAUGUUGGCAAUACAUAAAGACUUAAUUCUAUCUAUUCUCCCUAGACCACUUUUUGAUUCAAAGUUUUGAGGCCUAGAUUCUAUUGGUCUGCAGAAAUGGGAAUUUCUUAUUUUGGGAAUGCUUUUCUGUGAUAUUUGAGUGUGGGACUUGAAAAAUUUUCAAUUGAGCUUUAAAAUGAACAAGCUGAAAUAUAGACUCCAAACUCAAACUUUGGUUUCUUUUUUUAAUCUGAAAAUAAGGAUGCAGAGGAAAUGCACUCAAGGUGCUCCUUGUAACUUGUUCCAUUAGUGCAUUCUGUUCCAUAGAGGAUGUGGAGACAAGCAUGUAAAGCACAUUGUAGUAGACUAGUCUCAGACUUUUGAAAGAAGGCUGCCAUUUUCUUACUUGUUUUGUAUUUUAAGGUGCAUUCCUCCCUUCUGAGAUGGAAUUGAAGGAUGAAGGUAUGGCAACAGCCCUUGGAUUUCCUUUGCCUUUAUAAACAUUCCACUCUCCUAGGGCCUGGAAUUAAUCAAGAGCUAGAUAGGCAAGCGUUAACUGAAGGUAGAUAGGUUCCUAGAAGCCCUAUACUAUAGUUGAUUGAGGGGGUACUGCACGCAUGGGGCUUAAUUCUCUUUGAAAGAGCAGGCAAAUAGCUUAGGAGUUUUACUUCAUUCAGCUUUAUCACUUGAGCUUUUGUUGGCCUCCAAGUUCACCAGCUGCAAAUGUUGAUGAACAAAAGUCAUCCACCCACAUAGGUCCCUCCUUGGAUAAUCUCCCAGUGUGUUAUUGAAACACAGAUUGAGGUGCUGUCCACUUUUACUGAGCUGCAUUUCCCAAUAUACCCAAUGGUGAUGAAUGCUGAAAGUUGACCGUAACUUCUGGAAAGAAACAGAUGCCCCACCCUUAUUGUACUGUGUUGCAUGUGCUGCAAUUAGCCUUUAAGAAGAGCCAAGAGUUUCAGCUAGCAAAGGACUGUCAAGAAGUCCAGCCAGAUUGAAUCACAUUAGAUCAGUGAGGAGGGAGCUGUGCUGGAUGUUUCAUGACUCCAGGCCCAGUUCAAGGUCUGAUUUUAAACUGCCUUAAAAAUAACACAAAAGGCCAUUUUGGACCUAAAUGCCUAAAGGAAAACACAUCUUCCCUUACCAGGCAGUUUGUAUCCAAAAGCAAUUAAGGAGUGGCAAUGGUGGAUCUCACAUAAAAAGUACCUUUAGAGAUUUCUGCCAUUUCAUCUCUGAAAAUGUCUAUCCAAAGUUGUUGGGCUUUUUUGUCCAGGGUCAUUCAGCAUAGUUUGAAUUUAGCUUUCCUACAGGCUGACAUUAGUUUGAUGUAUCCUAAGUUACACUAAAGUGAUCAUUUGCAAGAAAUAUUUUUAAUAUGCACAACCAUUGCUAUAUGGUAGGGAUCUCAAAUGUGAUGGUUAGGAUUGCAAUGCUGAAGCAUUUUCAGGCAUUGAUACCAAGUCCCCAGUGAGUCAUAAAUGAAGAAAAUGAAGAGUAUCAUAAAAAGCUAUUUAACAGAAAUGAAUUUAAUAAUGAUGACUUUACUGGAAGACUGAGCUGUGCAAACCACAGCUAACAAAAGCUGGUUUGUGAUUCAGCUGGCAUCAUUUUUUAUUAAUGAAAAUAUCAGUGUGAUAUUCAUUUCUAAAAUUAAAUACUCUAGAAAACCAUCUCACUAAGAGUUGGGGAAACCAUGUCUUUCUCCUACCUCCUUGCUGAGAAGUUCCCUUUGGUCUGUUUUUUCAUUUGCUUUCUUUUUCUUUCACUGCUCUGCCUUAACGGAGAACUCUUUCAGUUUUUUCCCACUCUUGUGGUGUCGUUGGUGCUGAGUUUGGUUGUUUCCUUGCAGACAUUUCAUUACCUAAACUAGGUAACAUCAUCAGUACACUGAUGUUACCUACUUUAGGUAAUAAAAUGUCCGCAAGAAAACCAAGCUCAGAGAGCGGCAAGGACCCUUCAUUUCAACCCUGAACUACAACUAUUCUGGUUCCACUCAUGCCUCAUAAAUAAAUCCUCACAGCAGACUAAGCAGUCCUGGCCUUCCAACUCUGCCAUUUCCUCCUUUUCUCGGGCAGCCCCAACCUGCCAGCUUGUCUGCCCAAGCAGAAUCUCUCCUCUGCUGCUCCUGCUUGUGGAGCUGGGCAUUGACUGAGACGAACAGUAUUCAAUGGCCCACAAGAGCAUAUGGGGAUUCCAGCAUGUAGUGCAGCUUAGCAUGUUGACUUAUACCACUCAGCUGACAAGGCAUUACUCUUCCCAGGAGAUACACUGGGUUAAGCUGAACUAAGUGGUGAGGCUAGGUCUUGCAGCCUAUUCCUCUUCCGCAGGUUUCCAUGAUCCAGCUUACCUAACUUUGUGGUAUUUAGAGCCUCCACAAUCUUGUUGCAGGUCGCAGAAAGUGACUUGGAUCAUAUAGCCCAAGAAUUGCAAGUUUGAGUUCUUUGUUACAUGGUCUUCCUGUUCACAUACUCUCUCCUGCCCUGUUUUGGACAACUUGCCUUUAUCUCAAGAAAGUUGCAUUAGACCUGUGCUGGGUUUAAACUUGCCCAGUCUUUUAUGACUGCCUCAAGAUCUGAAUGUUAUUGCAUCCAUCAAAUGCAAUCAAUGGCAUUAUCUUCUCAAAAAUUCUCUUUUCUGCUGGCAUGUCCUUUUGAUCUAGGGAGUGGUGCGGUGACCUAGAGGCGGAGCUCUCGCCUCACAAUCAGGAGGCUGCGAGUUCAAUCGUAGGUAGAGGCAGAUAUUUCUCUAUCUGGACACAAUUAGAAUAUAUCUGCUGAAUAAAACUCCGCAUUGGCAACAGGAAGGGCAUCCGGCCAUUAAACACUCUGCUAGCUCCAUUCAGUUGCCCAGACUCCACCCUGCAAUGGAUUAUGAGGUCGUUAAAAAAUGAUGAUGAUGUCCUUUUGCUCUAGGGCUGUGGUAUGUUUAGGCUCCACGUAGUCUUGUUCCUUUUGUAGUUCCCUUUUGCCUUCCGUUAAAUAAAUCAUGUUGAUUCUUCUUAAAUAAGUGUAGAUUUCUUUUCCCCUUAUUUUCUUAAAACUUAUUAGUUCAAAUAGUUGAGAAAUCCUAUUCUUUUAUUUUUUUUUUUUUAAGAGGGAGGAAUAUUUGUUAUUUGGCCUUGAAAUUUCCAUGUUUUUGAAAAUGCAGUGAUGUAAUCUGAUAUGCACCCUCAUUACCCACCACUUUAGCCAUCUUAAAGGGUUCAGUGGAAAUUUGUCACAUAGAAAAACCAGAUUGCAGUUUACCUAGUAUUUGUGUUUCUUAUGUUUAUAUGACGAUUGCUGAAAUGUGAAUGCUUAGAAAGCAAACCAUCUCUGAGCAUGACCAUCUUGGUGCCCUAGUGAAUAAAUACCACACAAUUCUAAGGUGAUACACAUCAUGUUUUAUUUCCCAUAGCAAACAGCUUCAGUAAAGGGAAUCUGUCUAAAAGUGUUAAUAGGCCCUAAAAUAUGCAAGUCUGGCUUAGAUACUAUUCAUUUAGGACAUGAAUUGGUAUGCCACCUGAUGAAUUUUCUGGAUUUGAUAGAACAUAAAAGGGAAACAAUCUCAAAACUCAUAAAUUAUGAAAAGAUUAUAGCUGGUAUAAUAGUAAAAGUCAUUUCUUUUUGCCUUUAUUUCACCUAGUUUUGUGAUAAUACAGUAUACACUUUCCUAUUACUAUUUUAGAUAAGAUUACCCAAAUCUUGUUUCUAUACAAGGGAAAACAAAAUAUUCAUAAUUGUCAAAAAGGUGUAAGGUGGAUAAGAUUUAGGAGUCUGUAUAUUUUUGUAUAUAUGUGACAGAUAAAAUGUCAAAUUGUGAUCACAUUGAAAAGCAGAAGCAAAUGUUGAAAUAUACAUCAUGUUAACACUUAACUACAAUUCAACUGCACAAUCUAGAUAGCUGAAUUAGGUCUUGCUACAGUUUUGAUUGCAACUUAUUUAUAAGCUGUGGAAUUCAGCUUAAGACUGUUCUGCUUUGAAAUAUGUAGCAGGUUAAUUAGUGUGUCCAAAGGAAUGCACUUGUUCCAAGAAACUGUAUUGCAUUUUCUUCAUUAAAAUGCUUUGAC